rnacentral:tRNA from 1 species
AGCUAUAUAGGUUAAAGGUAGAGCGCUCUUCUAACUAAAGAAAAGAUCUAGGUUUAAGUCCUACUAUAGUUA